AGAAUCAACGCUGGCGGCGUGCCUAACACAUGCAAGUCGAACGAGAAAGUGGAGCAAUCCAUGAGUAAAGUGGCGCACGGGUGAGUAACACGUGACUAACCUACCCUUGAGUGGGGGAUAACCUAGAGAAAUCUGGGCUAAUACCGCAUAAUACCUUCGGGUCAAAGGAGCAAUCCGUUUGAGGAGGGGGUCGCGGCAGAUUAGUUAGUUGGCGGGUAAUGGCCCACCAAGACGAUGAUCUGUA
rnacentral:rRNA from 1 species